rnacentral:rRNA from 1 species
GCUCGGCGGCGUGCCUAACACAUGCAAGUCGAACGGGCAUCUUCGGUGCGGGGGGCGGGGGGGUGAGUCACGCGAAAGAGUCUUCCUUCGCGGCAGGAACCACUGUUGGUAGCGACUGCACAUACCCUGUAUGUCGGAGGGAGGAACCUAAUCGGCCUAGAGACGCCCUGGCGUCUGAUCGACUUGUUGGGGGGGAAAGAGCCUACCAAGGCCACGAUUAAUAGGUGGUCUAAGAGGAUGAGCAG